GGAAUUUUGGGCAAUGGGCGAAAGCCUGACCCAGCAACGCCGCGUGAAGGAUGAAAUCUCUCGGGAUGUAAACUUCGCAAGAACGGGAAGAAUAAGUAAGGGUUAAUAUACCUUACGAUGACGGUACUGUUUGUAAGCUCCGGCUAACUCCGUGCCAGCAGCCGCGGUAAUACGGGGGGACCAAGCGUUGCUCGGCUUGACUGGGCGUAAAGGGCGCGUAGGCGGCCACCGCAAGUCGACUGUGAAAUCUCCGGGCUUAACUCGGAAAGGUCAGCCGAUACUGCGGGGCUAGAGUGCAGAAGGGGCAACUGGAAUUCUCGGUGUAGCGGUGAAAUGCGUAGAUAUCGAGAGGAACACCUGCGGCGAAGGCGGGUUGCUGGGCUGACACUGACGCUGAGGCGCGAAAGCUAGGGGAGCGAAC
rnacentral:rRNA from 1 species